GUCUCGAGCUCUCAGCCUUUGACUCGAUGGUGAUUCCGUUGGUAUCACUGAUCAUCCGCUUUGCGUUCUCUGCACUAAUCUUCGUGCCAAAGAUACCAAAGACCAUGGCCAGGCUGCUCAUUCCAUUGGCGAAUUCCUCUCUCGUCCCUGCCAAUGCCUCCCUGUCACCGCCGCAGCCUCCCGUUACACCGUCCGGGCCAGUCCGCGCCGACGCCCGGUGAAAGCCGAGACGUGCGCUGACGCCUGCGAGAAGCUGGAGCCAGAGUUCGAAGCUGAGGCCGCGUCGCCGCCAGCAGGUCAGAGGGUGGUGACUGCCAGCGUCCUCCUUCCGAGCCACGGCCACGGCCAUUUCUUCUUCGCCGUCAUCGCCCAGGACGAGGUCGGCAACGUCAGCCCGCCCUCGAACGUGGUGGCCGUGGACAUGCGGGGCAACCUGUUCCGGGAGUGGCAGAAAUGGGGCGAAAUCCUCUUGUGGGUCAUGGCCGGCGUGUUGAUAGCGGUCGGACUCGCCACGCCGUUGCUCCUGGUUUGUGGCCGACACCAAUGCAGGUUCCUUUACGACACUCCUCCUCGCUAACUGUGAGCCACUUGACGGAAGCCAGACUUAUAACCUAUCAAUAAAAGCGAGUGAGCUGUAGUACAGCCUCCACGUCUCAAAACCAUGAUAAAAUCCUCCCUCGAUG